rnacentral:rRNA from 1 species
UACGUAGGGGGCAAGCGUUGUCCGGAUUUACUGGGCGUAAAGCGCGUGUAGGCGGCUACGCAGGUCCGUUGUGAAAACUGGAGGCUCAACCUCCAGACGUCGACGGAAACCGUGUGGCUAGAGUCCGGAAGAGGAGAGUGGAAUUCCUGGUGUAGCGGUGAAAUGCGCAGAUAUCAGGAAGAACACCAAUGGCGAAGGCAGCUCUCUG